rnacentral:rRNA from 1 species
GAUGAACGCUAGCGGGAGGCCUAACACAUGCAAGCCGAGCGGUAUUGUUUCUUCUGAAAUGAGAGAGCGGCGUACGGGUGCGUAACCCGUGUGCAACCUGCCUUUAUCUGGCGGAUAGCCUUUCGAAAGGAAGAUUAAUACUCCAUAAUAUAUUGAACGGCAUCGUUUAAUAUUGAACGCUCCGUCGGAUAGAGAUGGGCACGCGCAAGAUUAGCUAGUUGGUGAGGUAACGGCUCACCAAGGCGAUGAUCUUUAGGGGGCCUGAGAGGGUGAUCCCCCACACGGGAACUGGGACACGGACCAGACUCCUACGGCACGCAGCAGUGAGGAAUAUGGGUCAAUGGGUGCAAGCCUGAACCAGCCAGCCCGCGUGAAGGACGACUGCCCUAUGGGUUGUAAGCUUCUUUUGUAGAGGGAUAAACCUACCCUCGGGAGGGUAGCUGACGGUACUAUACGAAUAAGCACCGGCUAACUCCGUG